GUUGGGUCACUGACUGUCCAGAGGAAGGGCUGCUGUAAUCUCAGAACAUCGGCCUGGUUUGAACACACUUCUGGACACCACAGUGGAAGGCACAGCACAUCUACGCCAGCCGUCUUUCCUCUUGUUCAGGCGCUGCAGCAACACCAUCUGUGGAGCACUGAGCCUGACUAGGCUGACUACUGGUACCUGCACAUUGGACUGGGGCGAGUGAGGUUUCGAGUGAGGAGAACGUCAAUGGAAAUUCUUUCAAGGAUCUUCCCCUAUUCCAAAACCUUAGCUGGCCUCAAGAGCACCCUCGCUCAUGUUCUGCGCCUCAAAGACCAGACCGCGGAUGCCAGACGCAGGGCCAGAACCCGGCUGCCCUCAGUGUGCUCUCUACGUGAGAUGUACGCCGUCCGUGAUAACGCAGCACGCACGCCAGUGACCUUCGGGCGACUGAGACGGAGAGGUAGUGACUUCAUGCCGUUCACAUCGAAGAUGGUCGGAAUGUUUGGAUUCCCAGUAUUUGCUGGUUGCCAAAGGCUUUCCACCGAUUACUGUUCAUCUUCAGAUUUGUCCACCACGGAGGCUUGGCAAUAAGGACAGUAUGAAACACAAAGCUUGUGCAGCUUGUACGGGGCAUCGGUGGGUAAAGAGGUAGAGGAGCCGGAGGGUUGCUGGUUCGAGCUCGAGCCCUCCACACCCUGUCGAAGUGUCCUUGAGCAAGACACUGAACCCCAAACUGCUCUGAUGUGCAGGUUGUGGCCUUGUAUGGCACCCUCUGCCAUCAGUAUGUGUGUGAGUGAAUGGGUGAAUGUGAGGCAUGACUUUGUAAAGUGCUUUCAAUGCUUGGAGGAGUAGGAAAGCACUGUAUAAAUGCAGUCCAUUUGCCAUUUAUAUAAAUGCAGCCCAAAUCCUGCUAUUCAUGCAGGCUACCAUUUCAACAUCUACAAGUAAUAUGACGUGUAACUGGUUAAACCUAGUCAGUUUAUUGUUGGACUGUAUUGUACGACUGUAUUCCUACAACUGGAUCCGGAGGGUACGAAAUUAUCUUUGCAACUGUUGCGAUAUAUGAUCAUAUUCCAUUUUAAUGUGUUAAGCAAACAGUAAACUUGGCCUGUGUUUAUCUCAUACAUAAUGCAUCUUAGGCUGUUGCAUUUUCUAUAAUCAACCAUAGGAUUGUCAGGCCACAUUGUAUGAGGAAUAAAAAAUAUAUCACCUUUCACAUUA